rfam:Salmo salar isolate Sally breed double haploid chromosome ssa09, whole genome shotgun sequence.
AAUGCACCAAUUUGUAAGUCGCUCUGGAUAAGAGCGUCUGCUAAAUGUAAAAAA